ACAAAUCUGUUUUAAUAUAUGUAUAUUUAAUGCUUAAUUAACUCAUCCCGGGACAUUUCCCAUGCUGAAGUGUGAAGAAGGGCAAUGUAAGCCCAGCGGGUAUGUUCCCAGUCACUUAAAGGUCAAUGCAUGUGCCUGAUGUUUUUAGGUUUUGCCUCGUCAGACCUGUGCAGCUGCGUAGAAGAUCAUGAUGUCAGUUGAAAUUUGUGCCAUCAGUGAACAAAAUGGCCUCUCUUCCUCUCUCUGGUGUCACUUUCUUUCCACUCUGCAGUGCCCUUGUUGAGUUACAGAAAGACUCUGUAAAGUCGGUUGUUGUGAUGACACCUGUUACCUGCCACAUAACCACACUCUCUAUGUCUGCUGUUGUUUGUAAUAACACACUACAGUAUCUGUGUGCUCAGACUGAAAUCAAUCAUAAACUAUAAGAACCCAAAUCUUUGCGUUUUAUUUUCUCCCCGAAAAAAAAAUGUAUUUCCUAAAAUAUCUCUGUAGAAUGUAAUGGUCACAAAACUCUUUUAAUGGACAGCAAAAACCAUCAAAUCAGGAAGUCAGUGUGUCUUUGAUCCCUUAAAUAGCCAUUGUAACGUCAUAGAGCUGCAUAGAUUAAUGUAUUACUUGUCAACUGUUGAAUUACUCUGCAAACGUUUUCAUAAUCAACUCAUUUUUGGUGAAAGAAAGUACAAAUUCUCUGAUUCCAGCUUCUUAAGUGUGAAUAGUUUCUAGUUUUCUCCACAAGAAAUAACUAAAAUCUAUUCAUUUUCAUAUGUUUUUGAUUGAGGUGGCCCAAUGACUUAUGGCAUAUAGUGUGUGCUCGUGCACACCUGUCAAAGUAGAAUGAGUUUACCAUUUCUGUCUCCACUACUCAUCUCUACUUUAAUGACAAACUUUACAGCCUCCAGUUCCUUAUAUCCCCGGGAUUAUAGGGACUGUAUUCACCAUUAAAGCUGCAAACAGAAAGAAAAUAAUACAUUAAAGUGCUCAUAUUAUGCUCAUUUUCAGGUUCAUAAUUGUAUUUAGAGAUUAUAUCAAAAUAAGUUUACAUGAUUUAAUGUU